CCUGCCGGCGCAUCACAAUGUGUGCAUGGGCCUCGCGGGCCCGAGUGCAGGGAGAGGGGCGUAGAAGAGGCCCUCCGCCUUUGCUGAGGGGAGGAGAUCGAUUCAGAGGAGGUGGCACCCCCCCACCCCUACCCCUGCCAAAGUGAAAUAAAUACAUGGACAGAAAAUUCCAAGCAUUGCUUCCAUGGAAGGGAUUGCAAAGGAGAUGGUACUGUUACGGUGAUACUGGGACAGGGGAGCUGAGAGGGAAAACUGGGGAGGGGCUGCAAAAACCAGGGAGACCUGGUAAAAAUUAAAACACAAAGACAAGUUGUUUGCUUCAGUACUUCAGUUCUGUAAUGAAAUGAGCAUAAUGUCAGUGUUAUUUGAGUAGCUUUCAUGCUCGCACGAUGGACUGAAUGCC
ensembl:lncRNA